AACGAACGCUGGCGGCAUGCCUAACACAUGCAAGUCGAACGAGACCUUCGGGUCUAGUGGCGCACGGGUGCGUAACGCGUGGGUAUCUGCCCUUGGGUUCGGAAUAACACAGAGAAAUUUGUGCUAAUACCGGAUGAUGUCUUCGGACCAAAGAUUUAUCGCCCAGGGAUGAGCCCGCGUAGGAUUAGGUAGUUGGUGGGGUAAAGGCCCACCAAGCCGACGAUCCUUAGCUGGUCUGAGAGGAUGAUCAGCCACACUGGGACUGAGACACGGCCCAGACUCCUACGGGAGGCAGCAGUGGGGAAUAUUGGACAAUGGGCGCAAGCCUGAUCCAGCAAUGCCGCGUGAGUGAUGAAGGCCCUCGGGUCGUAAAGCUCUUUUACCAGGGAUGAUAAUGACAGUACCUGGAGAAUAAGCUCCGGCUAACUCCGUGCCAGCCGCCGCAGUAAUAC
rnacentral:rRNA from 1 species